UCGAGAAUCUUCCGCAAUGGGCGAAAGCCUGACGGAGCGACGCCGCGUGCGGGAUGAAGGCCUUCGGGUUGUAAACCGCUGUCGAAGGGGAGCAAAUUUGAGCGAUCCUUGGAGGAAGCACAGGCUAAAUUCGUGCCAGCAGCCGCGGUAAUACGAAUUGUGCGAACGUUAUUCGGAAUCACUGGGCUUAAAGGGUGCGUAGGCGGUCAUGUAGGUCUGAUGUGAAAUCCCACGGCUCAACCGUGGAACUGCGUUGGAAACCCCAUGGCUGGAGUAGGACAGAGGUGAGCGGAACAGAUGGUGGAGCGGUGAAAUGCGUUGAUAUCAUCUGGAACACCGGUGGCGAAAGCGGCUCACUGGGUCCUAACUGACGCUGAUGCACGAAAGCCAGGGGAGCAAACGGGAUUAGAUACCCCCGUAGUCCCUGAGCGGGCUGGCAAGGCGCAU
rnacentral:rRNA from 1 species